GCCUGGCUGGCUCAGUCAGUAGAGCAUGCAACUCUUGAUCUCAGGGUCAUGAGUUCAAGCCCCAUGUUAGGUG
rnacentral:tRNA from 1 species